UAUAAGGGAUUUUGAGUUUUUGCUUGUAACGUUUGACCACUUGUCUUAUUCAAAAAAUUUUGAAAUUAUUAUUUAUUUUAUUUGUGACUUACUUUAUUAUCUAUAGUACUUUAGGCACAACUUUUCGUUUUUAAUAUUUGUAAAAAAAUUAAAUAAGACGAGUGGUCAAAUGUUACAAUCAAAAACUCAAAAUCCCGUAUAUU
rnacentral:pre_miRNA from 1 species